UAUGAUAAGUUAGUAGAGAAAUGAGUAAGGGGAAGAGGAGACCUAAAAUGAUGUGGAGAAAAGUGGUGUCAAAAGAUUUACGAGUUUUGAUAUUGAUGUAGAUUUGGUAUCUAAUAGAGCUGAAUGAUAAAAAGGGACACAUAUAGCCAACCCAACUAGUUUGAAGUCAAGGCUUAGUUGUUGUUGUUCUAUCUUACAAAACAUGGCUUUCUGUACAAUCAUCUCCUUCUACAUUAAAGAUUAAAGAAGAACAUAAUAAGAAUGAGAAAAAAAAUAAAGAUAUCAAUUCGGGGGAUAGGGUAUUCUUGUAAUUGAGAAAAAAUAUUUUUAGGAAAAGAAAAUCAACAAAGAAAAGUUGUCCAACCACACUUUUUGUCGGUCAACACACCUUUGAUUGCUUAAUCUGUAAGAAGUACACCUCUUUUGAGUCCAAGUCUAUAGAUCAACAUAUAUAUUUGAUUUUUAGUUUUCUAAGUUCUCCUUUCCAUCAUUAUUUGGUUAUUCCUUGAUUUUAUUUUUUUAACUUUGUUCAUCUAAACUUUUCAUCUCAUAGUAGUUAUAACAUAUGAUGUUUUGUGUUUGGUUUUGUUGAUGGAAACAAUGCUGUUUUCACAUGCACACUAGGGAACUAGUUCUUGCGUAAUUAAUAAUGUCCUUAGUUACAAGUUUCUUAUAUGAUACAAUAGAACACAAGCCUUCUUCUGGUCUUGCAUAUCUAUUCGUGUCAUGCUGAUAUUUGUUUUGAAGCUGAUAUCUAUAUUUAUGUUAAUAUUGCUUUUGCUACAAGCCUUUCUACCAUCUUAUAUCUUAGGAAAGGCCAUUAAAGAACAUAAAUAAAAAUAUAUAAGGCCUUAAAGGUGGUACCACGAAUAUAUGUGUCCUGCCCUGUGUGCUUUUGUGUUUGUCAUUGUCUGUGCCUGGACAUGCACCAUUUUCUAUGAAGUUGAAAAGGGUUUUAGUCUUUAUUGUUAGCAUAACUUACAAUUUUGUCUGACAGAGUGAUGGAAAAUACACAACUUCAAGGACAAAUUCCAACUCGCUUCUUCAGCCUUCCUUAUUUACAGACAGUGUGCGUAUCAUCUUGAUAUCUAGUAGCCAACAUUUAAUUUUAGGAUGUCAAGAAACGCCAAAGGAUAAUUAACUGGUUAAUUUUUAGGAUUCUGCACAAAGAAGCCUAGCUAGACAUUUAUAUCUGAUGAUGGCAUUGGCUAAUAUGGUUACAGGGAUCUAAGUAACAAUACACUCAAUGGCACUUUAGAUAUUGGAACAAUCAAUAGUGACCAACUACAGCUCAUUGAUUUGCAAACCAAUUCCAUUUCUGAUUAUACUCCAAAACCUGGACAAAAGCAAGUUGAUAUAAUGUGAGUUGCAUUCUUUAUUCAUGCUUGAGAAAUUCAAAACGUUGUGCUACUGAAGAACUUAAAACUUAGUAUUUGAAAAUAUUAAAUUGCCUAGAGAUAUUCUCUGCUUCUACUUACCAACUUAUGAUUGUUUUAUCUGUUCAAAUUUGCAGACUUGUGAACAACCCAGUUUGUCAGGAAACUGGAGUAAUAGCAAGUUACUGCACUGUUUCCAGGCCUAAUUCUUCUUAUGUGACACUCCCAAAUAAUUGUGUGCCUAUUCCCUGUCGUUCAAAUCAGAUUUCUAGUCCCAACUGUAAUUGUGCAUAUGCAUACACAGGACUUUUAGUUUUCAGAGCUCCUUCAUUCUCAGACUUGGGAAACAUAACCAUUUACAUUUCUCUCCAGCGGAGUCUAAUGGAUUCUUUUAGGUCCAAUCAACUUCCUGUGGAUUCGGUAUCUCUAAGUAAUCCAAGAAAGGAUUUGUCUGAGUACUUGGAUUUAAAUCUUCAAGUCUUUCCAUUUGACCGAGAUUAUUUCAAUCAAACAAUUAUUUCUCAGAUUGGGUUUGUGUUGAGCAACCAGACUUUCAAGCCUCCAAAAGUCUUUGGACCGUACUAUUUUAUUGGAGAUGUUUAUCACUAUUUUGCUGGAGAAGUUACAAGAUCAAACAACUCAUCAAACACUGGUAUUAUCAUUGGAGCUGUUGCUGGAGGUUCCGCCCUCCUACUAUUAUUGGUCCUUGCAGGGCUUUAUGCUUACCGACAAAAGAAGAGAGCAGAAAGAGCAACUGAACGGAACAAUCCUUUCGCACACUGGGAUUCAACUAAGAGCAGUGGUACUGGUGUUCCUCAAUUAAAAGGGGCCAGAUGCUUUUCUUUUGAAGAGCUUAAAAAAUACACUAGUAAUUUUUCAGAAGCAAAUAAUAUUGGAUCUGGUGGUUAUGGAAAGGUAUAUAGAGGAAUCCUUCCCAGUGGAGAAUUGAUUGCCAUAAAACGAGCUCAACAACAAUCAUUGCAGGGUGGGCUAGAAUUCAAAACUGAGAUUGAACUUCUAUCAAGAGUGCAUCAUAAAAAUCUUGUAAGCCUUUUGGGAUUUUGCUUUGACCAAGGUGAACAAAUGCUCAUUUAUGAAUUUGUCCCAAAUGGGAGUCUCGGUGACAGUCUUUCAGGGAAGUCGGGAAUCAGGUUGGAUUGGAUUAGGAGACUUAAAGUAGCCCUUGGUUCAGCCAGAGGUCUGGCAUAUCUCCAUGAACUUGCAAACCCUCCCAUUAUCCA
rnacentral:misc_RNA from 1 species